rnacentral:rRNA from 1 species
CUUGUGACUGAGCGGCGGACGGGUGAGUAACGCGUGGGUAACCUGCCUCAUACAGGGGGAUAACAGUUAGAAAUGACUGCUAAUACCGCAUAAGACCACAGUACCGCAUGGUACAGUGGUAAAAACUCCGGUGGUAUGAGAUGGACCCGCGUCUGAUUAGGUAGUUGGUGGGGUAACGGCCCGCCAAGCCGACGAUCAGUAGCCGACCUGAGAGGGUGACCGGCCACGUUGGGACUGAGACACGGCCCAAACUCCUACGGGAGGCAGCAGUUGGGAAUAUUGCACAAUGGGCGAAAGCCUGACCGAGCAACGCCGCGUGAGGGAGGAAGUCAUUCGUGAUGUAAACCUCUGUUAUAAAGGAAGAAACGCCUGGAUAGGAAAUGAUACAGGCUUGACGGUACUUUAUGAGGAAGCCACGGCUAACUACGUGCCAGCAGCCGCGGUAAUACGUAGGUGGCGAGCGUUAUCCGGAAUCAUUGGGCGUAAAGAGGGAGCAGGCGGCAGCUAGGGUCUGCGGUGAAAGACCGAAGCUAAACUUCGGUAAGCCGUGGAAACCGAGCAGCUAGAGAGCAGCAGAGGAUCGUGGAAUUCCAUGUGUAGCGGUGAAAUGCGUAGAUAUAUGGAGGAACACCAGUGGCGAAGGCGACGAUCUGGGCUGCAACUGACGCUCAGUCCCGAAAGCGUGGGGAGCAAAUAGGAUUAGAUACCCUAGUAGUCCACGCCGUAAACGAUGAGUACUAAGUGUUGGGGGUCAAACCUCAGUGCUGCAGUUAACGCAAUAAGUACUCCGCCUGAGUAGUACGUUCGCAAGAAUGAAACUCAAAGGAAUUGACGGGGGCCCGCACAAGCGGUGGAGCAUGUGGUUUAAUUCGAAGCAACGCGAAGAACCUUACCAGGUCUUGACAUACCAAUAAAGGCCUCAGAGAUGAGGAGAUAGAUAUAAUGGAUACAGGUGGUGCAUGGUUAUCGUCAGCUCGUGUCGUGAGAUGUUGGGUUAAGUCCCGCAACGAGCGCAACCCUUGUCGCUAGUUACCAUCAUUAAGUUGGGGACUCUAGCGAGACUGCCUCUGCAAGGAGGAGGAGGGCGGGGAUGACGUCAAAUCAUCAUGCCCCUUAUGACCUGGGCUACACACGUGCUACAAUGGACGGAUCAGAGGGAAGCGAAGCUGCGAAGUGGAGCGAAACCCAAAAACCCGUUCUCAGUUCGGACUGCAGUCUGCAACUCGACUGCACGAAGUUGGAAACGCUAGUAAUCGCGAAUCAGAAUGUCGCGGUGA